GAAUUUAAUAUUAUUUUUUUAUUAUUUUAAAAAAAUAAUAUUUAGUUGGGAGGACUAUUAAAUUUUAUAAACUUUAAAUUAAAAAAAAAUUAAUUAAUUAAAUAAUAAUAAAGAAGAUUUAUUAAAUAAUUUAAAAUUAAUUACCUUAGGGAUAACAGCAUUAUAUUUUUAGAAAGUUCUUAUUAAUAAAAAUAGUUGU
rnacentral:rRNA from 1 species